AGGUUGUUGGCACCAAAAUAGCAUUCCGUUGGGUCUCCAUGUCCAAAAAUGAGGUAAAAAGACCCAAAAUGAGGCUGUUUGAAGGACCUUUCUGAUGCCAGCAGCCUAAAAGGGGAGGAAAUGGAAGAGAACACGGCACGGAGAGGAGAACCGGGUCGGUUCCGGCAUCACCGCAGCGUCAGCCUUUAAAGAUCAGAUCUUCAUCUUCAUCUUCAUCUUCCUCCUUUCAAUGGGAUGAGGUUGCAUUGGAAUGACGUUGGUUGGCCAUGGUUGGGUUGGGGUUGGCCAACGCUCUACUGGCGGUGCUGGCUCUUCAAGUGGUCAAAAUUGGGUAAAAAGACCCAAAAUUGGGCAAGGUGACCCCAAAUUGGGUCAUUUUGAGGUGUGUUGGGCACCAAAAUGGCCUCAGUUGGGUCUCCAUGUCAAAAAUGAUGUAAAAAGACCCAAAAUCGGGUCAUUUUGAGGUGUGUUGGGCACCAAAAUGGCGUCCGUUGGGUGUCCUGGCCUCUUCCAUGGCCAAAAUGGGGUUAAAAGACCAAAAAUUAGGCAAGAAGACCCCAAAAUUGGGCACUUUGGGGGUGUGUUGGGCACUAAAGUAAUAUCGGUUGGGUCUCCAUGUUCAAAAUGAGGCAAAAAGACCCAAAAUCGGGUCAUUCUGAGGUGCGUUGGGCACCAUAAUGGCAUCAGUUGGGUGUCCUGGCCUCUUCCAUGGCCAAAAUGGGGUAAAAAGACCCAAAAUUGGGUCAUUUCGAGGCGGGUUUUGCCCCUAAACUGCACUGGUUGGAUCUCCUAACACUACUUGGGUCUCCCAUUUUCUGGUUGGCCAAAAUGGGUCAAAAAAACCCCAAAUUGGGUCAUUUCAAGUCAUGGUUCCCCCCCUUAACACCAACAAUUGGGUCUCCUAUCUUCUCCAUGGCCAAAAUGGGUCAAAAUACCCCAAAAUCGGGUCAUUUUAAGGUUGGGGGCGGCCAUGAAAACCAAUGGGUUUGAGCAGCCCCAUUCAGCUCCACUUAUGGGGUGGGGGGGGGGUCUCAAUUCUGUGCCCCCCAACCCCAUUAAAUCCCCCCUAAAUUAAGUGGAUUUUGGGGCAUUUUGGGUCAAUUUCGAGGUAUUUUCUGCCCCAAAAUUGAAUUGUGAGGAGAAAUAAAAAGCUUUGAGUUCAAUUCCUGCUUUCCCCCCUUUGACCCAAAUUUGCCCUUUUUUAACCCAAA